rnacentral:tRNA from 1 species
GCCAGCGUAGCUCAAUCGGCAGAGCGGCGCAUUCGUAAUGCGUAGGUCGGGGGUUCGAAUCCCUUCGCUGGCUCCA